rnacentral:rRNA from 1 species
AUUGAACGCCGGCGGCAGGCCUAACACAUGCAAGUCGAGCGGAGCGGCGGACGGGUGAGUAAUGCCUAGGAAUCGGCAUGGUAGUGGGGGAUAACGUCCGGAAACGGGAGCUAAUACCGCAUACUAUAAGAUGAGACUAGGUCGGAUUAGCUAGUUGGGGGGGUAAAGGCCUACCAAGGCGACGAACCGACACGGGUCUGAGAGGAUGAUCAGUAACACUGGAACGGAGACACGGUCCAGAUUCCUACGGGAGGCAGCAGUGGGGAAUAUUGGACAAUGGGCGAAAGCCUGAUCCAGCCAGGCCGCUUGUGUGAAGAAGGGCUUCGGAUUGUAAAGCUCUUUAAGUUGGGAGGCGUUACCAACAGAAUAAGCACCGGCUAACUUCGUGCCAGCAGCCGCGGUAAUUC